AGAGUUUGAUCAUGGCUCAGGAUGGACGCUGGCGGCGUGCCUAACACAUGCAAGUCGAGCGAGGACUUCGGUCCUAGCGGCGGACGGGUGAGUAACGCGUGGGUAAUCUGCCUCAUACACACGGAUAACGUACCGAAAGGUACGCUAAUACGAGAUAAAGUUAAGAAAUGGCAUCAUUUCUUAAUCAAAGAAUUUCGGUAUGAGAUGAGCCCGCGUCCCAUUAGCUAGUUGGUAAGGUAAAAGCUUACCAAGGCGACGAUGGGUAGCCGACCUGAGAGGGUGAUCGGCCACACUGGAACUGAGACACGGUCCAGACUCCUACGGGAGGCAGCAGUGGGGAAUAUUGCACAAUGGGCGAAAGCCUGAUGCAGCAACGCCGCGUGAGCGAUGAAGGUCUUCGGAUCGUAAAGCUCUGUCCUCAAGGAAGAAUUUUGACGGUACUUGAGGAGGAAGCCCCGGCUAACUACGUGCCAGCAGCCGCGGUAAUACGUAGGGGGCUAGCGUUAUCCGGAAUUAUUGGGCGUAAAGGGUGCGUAGGCGGUCCUACAAGUCAGAGGUGAAAGGCUACGGCUCAACCGUAGUAAGCCUUUGAAACUGUAGGACUUGAGUGCAGGAGAGGAGAGUGGAAUUCCCAGUGUAGCGGUGAAAUGCGUAGAUAUUGGGAGGAACACCAGUUGCGAAGGCGGCUCUCUGGACUGUAACUGACGCUGAGGCACGAAAGCGUGGGGAGCGAACAGGAUUAGAUACCCUGGUAGUCCACGCCGUAAACGAUGAGUACUAGGUGUCGGGGGUUACCCCCCUCGGUGCCGCAGCUAACGCAUUAAGUACUCCGCCUGGGAAGUACGCUCGCAAGAGUGAAACUCAAAUGAAUUGACGG
rnacentral:rRNA from 1 species